UACGUAGGGUGCGAGCGUUGCCCGGAUUUAUUGGGCGUAAAGGGCGCGUAGGCGGCCAUCUAAGUCAGACGUGAAAUCCCCCGGCUUAACCUGGGAACUGCGUCUGAUACUGGACGGCUGGAGUUUGGGAGAGGGAUGUAGAAUUCCAGGUGUAGCGGUGAAAUGCGUAGAUAUCUGGAGGAAUACCGGUGGCGAAGGCGGCAUCCUGGACCAAUACUGACGCUGAGGCGCGAAAGCUAGGGGAGCAAACGGG
rnacentral:rRNA from 1 species